rnacentral:misc_RNA from 1 species
CAACCCUCAAGCUCAGCUUGGUGUUGGGACUCGCGGUAACCCGCGUUCCCCAAAUCGAUUGGCGGUCACGUCGAGCUUCCAUAGCGUAGUAAUAGUACACCUCGUUACUGGUAAUCGUCGCGGCCACGCCGUAAAACCCCAACUUCUGAA